rnacentral:lncRNA from 1 species
UAUUUAUCUUGAGUUCUUUGUAUUUCACAGCUCUCUGCAGUUAACUUGCAUUUCUUUAUUUAAAAAAAAUUUUUGAAAUAGACUAAGUAUAAAAUAUUUACUGAAUUCUUGUUGCAAAUCCAGGAGAAAAACUUUUCAUUUUAAAAAGAAAACCAAACAUUUAAUUAAUUUUUAAAUGUAUUUUUCUCUUGGAAAUUCACUUCAGUGUUAUUAUUAUCUUGAAUGCCAAUAUUUAACAGUGCUGGCAUUUAUUUUAGCUUCACCCUAAAAUAGAAUGUUUGGUGUAUUGAGUUACAUUUGGCUAUAAUUCAUCAUUUGAGUAGUUAAAGAGAAAUCUUAUUCUUUUUUUUAAUCCCUGCCACGACAACUUUGUGUCAAAAUGCCAGUUAGUUUUGUCAGGGACCAGGAUGGUGGUUAAGAAAUUGGAAACAUUUCUGCUGGCAGGUUCACUAUUCAUUUCUGACAGCCGGCUGGUACAAUAUUGAGUGCUUUAAUUUAUUGAAGUUGCUGUUCGGAUAAUAACAGUCGUACACUCUUCUACAUGGAACCUAUUUGAACAUUUUUUUUAUAUCUGUUUGGACACAGUUCAUAGCUUUUUAAUAAAACAUUGCACCUUCCUCUUUUUAAACUGUAAUAUAAAUGAUAGGUAAAACCAUUAACUAACUUAAAUUCAAGAUUCACUUUUAACACUUGCCAAAAUUAUAGGAUAUCAAACUAAAAACAUUUUUAAUGUAUGAUAAAGUGAAUUUUUGUUUGGUUUCCUUUUAUCAUCAAACUCUAGCUAUUUUUAAUAGGUUUUAACAUGUAGACACCUGUUUUUAAAGCCCACUUAUUUGAUAACAAAAUUACUAUCUGCUAUUUUUUUUUUUUUUUGCAAGAGAUAAAACAAAAUCUUUAGAUGUGCUGAUGACUUGGAUGAUUGAUGGGAACCAGAGCCAAGAUGGUCAAAAAUUGAGUCUGAGCCAUCACUUUACAAAGAGCCAAGGUCAAGACAGGGGAACCAAGAUUCUCAGAGAUUUGGAACAGAACUAGAAAGCAACUCCCUCCUUGGAUGGUGCAUAUACAUGCUUGAUGAGCUUGACGACGGACACGCUGCAGUUUUCCUCCAAGAAACUAGCAUAUGUUGUGAACAUGUGUGUUCUCCAGGAGAUGCUCCAGGGGUCCUGUGGCAGGCUUGGGCACUUUAAAGUCUAGACUCUUAUUUUAAAGCCCUCUCUAGGCCCCCACCUACU